GGUGCUAACGUCCGUCGUGAAGAGGGAAACAACCCAGACCGCCAGCUAAGGUCCCAAAGUCAUGGUUAAGUGGGAAACGAUGUGGGAAGGCCCAGACAGCCAGGAUGUUGGCUUAGAAGCAGCCAUCAUUUAAAGAAAGCGUAAUAGCUCACUGGUCGAGUCGGCCUGCGCGGAAGAUGUAACGGGGCUAAACCAUGCACCGAAGCUGCGGCAGCGACACUGUGUGUUGUUGGGUAGGGGAGCGUUCUGUAAGCCUGUGAAGGUGUGUCGUGAGGCAUGCUGGAGGUAUCAGAAGUGCGAAUGCUGACAUAAGUAACGAUAAAGCGGGUGAAAAGCCCGCUCGCCGGAAGACCAAGGGUUCCUGUCCAACGUUAAUCGGGGCAGGGUGAGUCGACCCCUAAGGCGAGGCCGAAAGGCGUAGUCGAUGGGAAACGGGUUAAUAUUCCCGUACUUGGUGUUACUGCGAAGGGGGGACGGAGAAGGCUAUGUUGGCCGGGCGACGGUUGUCCCGGUUUAAGCGUGUAGGUGUGUGUUCCAGGUAAAUCCGGUUCACUUUAACACUGAGGCGUGACGACGAGGCACUACGGUGCUGAAGCAACAAAUGCCCUGCUUCCAGGAAAAGCCUCUAAGCAUCAGGUAACAUCAAAUCGUACCCCAAACCGACACAGGUGGUCAGGUAGAGAAUACCAAGGCGCUUGAGAGAACUCGGGUGAAGGAACUAGGCAAAAUGGUGCCGUAACUUCGGGAGAAGGCACGCUGACACGUAGGUGAAGUGAUUUACUCAUGGAGCUGAAGUCAGUCGAAGAUACCAGCUGGCUGCAACUGUUUAUUAAAAACACAGCACUGUGCAAACACGAAAGUGGACGUAUACGGUGUGACGCCUGCCCGGUGCCGGAAGGUUAAUUGAUGGGGUCAGCGCAAGCGAAGCUCCUGAUCGAAGCCCCGGUAAACGGCGGCCGUAACUAUAACGGUCCUAAGGUAGCGAAAUUCCUUGUCGGGUAAGUUCCGACCUGCACGAAUGGCGUAAUGAUGGCCAGGCUGUCUCCACCCGAGACUCAGUGAAAUUGAACUCGCUGUGAAGAUGCAGUGUACCCGCGGCAAGACGGAAAGACCCCGUGAACCUUUACUAUAGCUUGACACUGAACAUUGAGCCUUGAUGUGUAGGAUAGGUGGGAGGCUUUGAAGUGUGGACGCCAGUCUGCAUGGAGCCGACCUUGAAAUACCACCCUUUAAUGUUUGAUGUUCUAACGUGGACCCGUGAUCCGGGUUGCGGACAGUGUCUGGUGGGUAGUUUGACUGGGGCGGUCUCCUCCUAAAGAGUAACGGAGGAGCACGAAGGUUGGCUAAUCCUGGUCGGACAUCAGGAGGUUAGUGCAAUGGCAUAAGCCAGCUUGACUGCGAGCGUGACGGCGCGAGCAGGUGCGAAAGCAGGUCAUAGUGAUCCGGUGGUUCUGAAUGGAAGGGCCAUCGCUCAACGGAUAAAAGGUACUCCGGGGAUAACAGGCUGAUACCGCCCAAGAGUUCAUAUCGACGGCGGUGUUUGGCACCUCGAUGUCGGCUCAUCACAUCCUGGGGCUGAAGUAGGUCCCAAGGGUAUGGCUGUUCGCCAUUUAAAGUGGUACGCGAGCUGGGUUUAGAACGUCGUGAGACAGUUCGGUCCCUAUCUGCCG
rnacentral:rRNA from 1 species